AUUAACCCGCGCGUUCCCUCUCAAUUCAUCAGCGCCCUUCAAUCUCCCACCACAACCCUCGAGUUCUCGGUUCUCUCCGCUCGCAAGCUAUCAGCGUCUCGUGCAGCCCGUGUUCUCUCUCAAUUUUCACCAUAUCCUCUCGUGCGCAAACCCCACCGUUAAGUUCCACAAACUCGCUCUCCCUGCCAAGUGUGAGUUCUCACUAAAGCGUUGGUGGUCAGAGGUGAUCAGAGAUGGGGCUGAAGAAACACCUUUGAGAACAGGACAGAACGGAACGGCACAGAACGUAAAGAAACGAAACAGGACGGAACUGAGCGGAACGAGAUGAGAGGUGUUUUCAUCGCUGUAAAAUUUUUUUUACCUUUUCAUAAUAAAAUGCAAGGGUCAAUUAUUGGUCGUUUUUAUUAA